rnacentral:misc_RNA from 1 species
UACGGCCCGCGGUAGGUUUC